UACGUAGGGGCAAGCGUUGUCCGGAUUUAUUGGGCGUAAAGCGCUCGCAGGCGGCUCGAUGCGUCCGUGCGUGAAACACCCGGCUCAACUGGGAGGUCGUGCGAUACGGUCGGCUUGAGGCCAGUAGGGGAUGCGGAAUUCCGGUGUAGUGUGGAUGCGUAGAGAUCCGAGACACCAGCGCGAGCGCAUCUGACUGUACUGACGCUCAGAGCGAAGCGUGGAGCGAGUCG
rnacentral:rRNA from 1 species